rnacentral:lncRNA from 1 species
CGGGCAGGGGGCGGACGGGGCCCUGACGCUCUGGCGCCCUGUUUCCCUGCAGACGUGCUGGUGGACGGACAGCCCUGUGACUGCCAGGCGGCGGCCUGCCGGGUGGGCGACCCGGUGCGCCUGGAGGUGCGGCUGACCAACCGGAGCCCGCGCAGCGUGGGCCCCUUUGCCCUCAGCGUGGUGCCCUUCCAGGACCACCAGAACGGCGUGCACAGCUAUGACCUGCGCCACGCCGUGUCCUUCGUGGGCUCCGGCACCUUCUACCUGGACAAGGUUCAGCCGUCGGGCCAGGCGGCCUGCCUCGGGGCGCUCCUCUUCCUCUACACGGGCGACUUCUUCCUCCACAUCCGGUUCCACGAGGACGGCCCCAGCAAGGAGCUGCCCCCAUCCUGGUUCUGCCUGCCCAGCGUGCACGUGCGCGCCCUGGAGGCUCAAGCCUGAGCACCCCACCCCGUCCUGGGUCCCUGAUCCUGCAGGAAGAGACAACCAGAGGCCCCCCUCCCCGGGGAUGGGGCCACGGCUGCUGCUGUGACACCCAUCCCCUCCUUCCGGCUACCCGGCCCCCAGCCCGCAGCCCCCACAUCUGCCCGCCGCGUCCUCUCUGGACUCGCAGGGGCCCCUGCACGCAGCAGCCUCGCCCCUUCCCACCCUGCCCGUUGGGACCCCCCUGCGAGUUUGGGCUAAGGCAGAUGCUGACCCAGACCCCAGAGUGUGGCCCAUCCACCCAGCCCAGGCCUGGGGUCCCUGCACCUGUUCCCAUGACCUGGGGUUCACAACCUAGCCGGUAGGAAGAGAAGGCAAGCAUGAGGGAGGGACCCUUCCCGGGCGGGUCUGGGGAGCCUCCCCCGGCCCCCUCGGCCCUUGGAAUCCCCGAGGGCUGGCUCUUCUCCUGGGGACCCUGAGGCAGCAGAGCUGGGAGAGACGGCACUGUGGGUGACACCGGGAGUUUCCUGCUGCCCCCGGGGAGCGGACACCCCUGCGUCAGCUGUCCUGGGCCCUGGGCUGGUUCCAGGCCGGGCUCAGGGGUGUGGCCUGUGUGUGUCUGUGUAUCAGUGACAGAUUCUCCAAUAAAGGGCCUGCCUUGCUUCUCUGCUGGUCA